rnacentral:misc_RNA from 1 species
GCUAAAGUUGCUCCAAGUGUGGCUGCAAAAAUAUGAUGGAAAAGCUCAAAGCAGAAACAUGAUAUUAAAAAUAGAAAUUAUAGAGAAGUAGAAUAAGACAGCAGCAUUGACAUUUAGUUUAAAAUGGCCUUGCGAACUAGUACUACAUUAUCUCACAGGUAACUCAGAAAUCAUAAAAAAUUUGAGUAAUAGGCUCUAAUCUAAAAAAUAAGAAUUUACUCUGGCUUUAUGGACAGAAGUGUCAUCAGUGUGUAUGUGUGUGUGUGUGUG